GCUGAUAUGGCCGAGUCGUCUAAGGCGAGUGAUUUGAACUAGUCAUGGUCACGUGACUUCUCAAAUAUCACUUGGGAUUUUCCCGCGUAGGUUCAAAUCCUGCUGUCAGCG